rnacentral:rRNA from 1 species
GACGAACGCUGGCGGCGUGCUUAACACAUGCAAGUCGAACGGAAAGGCCCUGCUUUUGUGGGGUGCCCGAGUGGCGAACGGGUGAGUAACACGUGAGUAACCUGCCCUUGACUUUGGGAUAACUUUAGGAAACUGGGGCUAUUACCGCAUAUGAGCUCCUGCUGCAUGGUGGGGGUUGGAAAGUUUCGGCGGUUGGGGAUGGACUCGCGGCUUAUCAGCUUGUUGGUGGGGUAGUGGCUUACCAAGGCUUUGACGGGUAGCCGGCCUGAGAGGGUGACCGGCCACAUUGGGACUGAGAUACGGCCCAGACUCCUACGGGAGGCAGCAGUGGGGAAUAUUGCACAAUGGGCGGAAGCCUGAUGCAGCAACGCCGCGUGCGGGAUGACGGCCUUCGGGUUGUAAACCGCUUUCGCCUGUGACGAAGCGUGAGUGACGGUAAUGGGUAAAGAAGCACCGGCUAACUACGUG